UGGGGAAUCUUAGACAAUGGGGGCAACCCUGAUCUAGCCAUGCCGCGUGAACGAUGAAGGCCCUAGGGUUGUAAAGUUCUUUCAGUCGUGACGAUAAUGACGGUAGCGACAGAAGAAGCCCCGGCUAACUCCGUGCCAGCAGCCGCGGUAAUACGGAGGGGGCUAGCGUUGUUCGGAAUUACUGGGCGUAAAGCGCGCGUAGGCGGAUAGUUAAGUCGGGGGUGAAAUCCCGGGGCUCAACCCCGGAACUGCCUUCGAUACUGGCUGUCUUGAGGUCGAGAGAGGUGAGUGGAAUACCGAGUGUAGAGGUGAAAUUCGUAGAUAUUCGGUGGAACACCAGUGGCGAAGGCGGCUCACUGGCUCGAUACUGACGCUGAGGUGCGAAAGCGUGGGGAGCAAACAGGAUUAGAUACCCCCGUAGUCC
rnacentral:rRNA from 1 species